AUUUAAGUAGUUUAAAUAAAAAAUUUUGAUUUGUGAUGUCAAAGAUAUAAGGAUUUAUCUUAAAUU
rnacentral:tRNA from 1 species